GCCCUGCCCUGCGAGCGGUGGGAGGCUGGGAGAGUGCUCCUGAGAGAUGGUGGUCCCUCACCGGCCUCAAGGUGAGCAGCUCUGGGUGCAGGCCCCAGCUCUGGUCUUGUCUCUUAAAGAGCAGGCAUGGUUCAGGCACCAAGGCUCAGGUAAAAUCUGAAGCUCCGUGUUCAACAGAGGGACGUUGCAGAAUGAAUGCAGGUGGAAGCCUGCUUCCAGAACUGAAGAGCUUUCAGCACUGGGGCUGCUCCAGAUAUAUGAAAUUACUGCAUUGCUGCCGAGAGAUUCUGAUUCUCAUGGAUCUGCUGAGGAAGCACUUGAACGUGAGGGGCUGUUCCCAAAGCCUGAGACCUUCCCUUGACCACUGAACUGGAAAUCUUCAUAGACAGGACAAUAUCUGGAAGAGAGAAAGAGUUACAGUCAGUGCAUUACCAGUGGGAAGCUGAAGCUUACCCAUUAUGGCAAAUUUUGCAAAGUUCUGGAGGCACACAGUUCUCCUUGACCUUCUCAUGACUCACCAAGAUCACCUAGGAAGUCCGUGACAGUGCUUUGGAGUGACUCCAGCUCGAAAUCCCAGUACAGUGGUGCAUCUCUGCAGCCUCACUCCUUCUGGUGCCCGGUUCUUUUCUUCCAUCUUGGAAGUGAGCUGUGCUGAGGUUCCUCCCAAGGACAGAACUCCUGCCAUCCCCUUUGUGGAGGAGACCAGCUGUCCUCGCCAGUCGUACUGACCCAAAGAGAAACAGAGAGGGCACAAGGAUGCUGAACUGGUGGCUUUGGAGGGAGCAGAGGAGAGCCACUGUAUAAGCACUGCCAUCUGUGCAGAGAGCUUCCCACAGCCAGUGAGAGCAAACAGUACAGAGUUCACCACCUCAGUGGGCUGUUCAAGGCAGUGGUCUCUGCAGCUUCAUUCCAGUUGCCACAGUUCUCUGCUGGCCCACAUUGCCACGCAGACUGAGGACUGCUGCUUGCAUCUGGGAAAGAUACUUGCUUGGAUGUCUUGUCACUGCUGAUGACAGUGCUGCAGGUUCAAGGUUACUCAGCGUUACACAAGUACUCUGGGAAACCCAUGUGCCCACACUGCAGUAUUUGAGUUAGCUUUUUAAAUUCAAAGAAAGGAUGAAGCCAGAAGAUAAUGUGGAUUUGCUGUAAACCAUCUGCAUUGCUGAAUACAUGUGAGGAGCAGCAGGAGUGGAGAAAGUGCCACUCUUCAGUGGCAGCUGCUGGACAUGCUCUAUAGCAGUUCCUGAAACCGUGCAAGGGGUUUCCAUUGAGAGCUGAGCCAUCUGAAGCACAGGAGAAACAGGUCCUAAAUAAGUGGGAGACAAUACUAUACAGGCUUUCUGCUAACUCUGGGACUCGAGCUGCUGCUGGAUUGGUUUGCUAAAGAAAAGACAUUUGAGGAGGAAGCAGAGGGCUGUGGCUGGCUCUUGCUUCUGAGAAGCUCAAGAAACUUGCAUGUCUGAAGCCCCACUGCAGAGACAGUGUGACGCAGAUUAGGUUCGCCCCGAUGCAUGCCAUUGGAGCCACAGUGUACUCAGGCAGAGCAGCAUAUAUGCUGUCCAACACAGCAAUCCCACAGAGACCAAGAUAACGUCUCAGCAAAACUGGCAACGACCAGCAUGAGAUUUCUCAGCAGCUUGUCUGCUGAGAGCGACUCUUCCCUAGUGCCUAGCACUGAGGCUGAAGACUUUCUCACUUUUUGCAGCCCAGCGUGUGGAGUCAGAAAUGAGAGGCCACGAGGGUACUCCACAGCAUAGCUUGGCUGUUAUGAAUGUCCCCACUCUCAAAAUGGCCUUCCUCUCAGGAGACCUUUUCCCCUUUCUACCCCCAUUACAUGACACCAAACUAGGACAUCUCCCACACAGAGAGAAAGGAAACUUGGGAGAUCUGGGAGGUAUGUGGUUCUGCAUGACCUAAGUUGUAUCUUGCACAGCAAAAUUUGUAACUGUGACCGAGUGGAGGAGAAACAUCCUCAGAGGUUGGUGUUAACAUGGUGGGAAGGGUUUAGCACUAGACAGCCUGGCUGCAGCCUCCAAGUGCAACUGGCUUCCUCCUUCCUUCCUGGGAGUGCUCUCAGCUCCCCCAGACAUGCACUCCAACUCCCAGGCCAGGAACUGGUGUGACUGGAGCCUGAGCAGAAAUGCGGAAGGAGGACGAAGCUCCCUGCCUGAGCCUGCUGGCAUCCUCCUACACAAGUGACAGCUCAUAUUUCUCGCAGGGACAUGUCAGCUGCUGCAGAAGAGGAAGAAAUGAGUGAUCUUGGCGGAGAAACUCAGAUUUUUUCCUGCCUCACAAAAUGAGAGACUGCUGUUGGGAGCAAAAAGGAGGAGAAGACCGCAUUUAUGCCACAAAUUAACAUCAGGGAAGGACACAGACCUUGAUGUUAUUUUGGGUGCACAGAGUGUGGAGCAAUAAGGAUUUUUUUAAUGCAGUUCUGUUUCUGAGCAGAGUGUGGGGGGUGGGGAGCAUUGCUAAAAAUCAUAGGUUAACCUACUUCUGUUCAAGUAAACCACAGCAUGCAAUUGACCUCACCUCAGCAGCUUUGCAUCAAGAGGCAUAAGCAGAUAGGGAUUAACCCCUGGAUCACUGGGCAGAUCCAAACUGCUGCAUAGAGCAGGUUGGCUCUUCAUUAAAAAUCAAAAGUGGAAGGGACGGAAAAGAAGUAAGCAUAAAGAUUUUUUUAAGGACAGAAGCAGUUCACGGCCAUUUAAACCACUGGUCCCUUGCUGCUCUGGGGCAGUUCCUGAAACAGGCUACCUCCCGUACUCAGCCUGCAGUGAGUGCCUCUGCUGAUCAGUGGACAACAUUCAGCCUGUGCUUUUCUUGGCCAGCUGAACACCUGAUAUCAAAUGGGCUGGUUCGUUUUCAGUUUGAAAAACUACAGCAUUUUGAAGGAGACUAACCCAUCCUCACAGCCUUGUGCUAGUCCCCUUCUCAGCUUGUUGAUUUGGGCUAGUAAGUCACUUGGUAGUACAAUGAAUGUAAAAAGCAACAAAGCACAACAGUUUUUUGUUUAAAUGUCAGGCACCAGGGAUAAGCUCAAGGAAACAGGCAACUUCUACUUAAGAAGAAACCUUAUUAGGCAAGGAUAAUGCCCUCUGCUUAUUGCCCCACUUCACCCCAGAGUUGGCUGGGAUUGACCCUGCCUGAGAGAGAUGACCUUACCUUGGUCCCGAGAGGGGUGGUGGGCACAUCUUUAGUGGAGACACAAAGUAGCACGAUGCCCGUCAGUCCUGCCACGAUCACCAGCCAGGGGGGAAGGAGUUCGCGCCAAGACAUGAAGCACUUUCUCCUUUUUCUGAAAAGUCAAAGAGGAAGCAGUGGAGCAGCAAAUGCAAAGUCUGCAACUGACAGUGGUUGCUUCUUACAGUCUUUAAAAAGAGGAGGAAGGCGGGGCCAGGGCCAGGCUCUGGCAUCAACCCAGCCCCAAGCCACACGACCAUGAAAAGCGCGUGGGCCAAGCUGUGAUGUGUCAGGCAAUUCUCCCUUCCACUGUCCACACAAUAAAUAAAACUGAGGCUUGGUGCUGAUUCCAGGGUUAGUUUUGCAAAAACAUCAGUAGAGCCUCGAAACUGCUCCAGGCAAUAGUGUUGAGGUAAACAGAAAUGUGAGGUUAACUCAUCUGUUUAAUAAGCAGAAAGCAGACAAACUCAUCUGUUUGGUAUUCUGAGCUUGGCAGAGUGAGGAAGAAUGCCAAAAUUAGAAGUGGGAAACUCCUUCUAGGUAGAAUUACUUUUCAUCUGAGGGCCAUGCUCAGCUCCAUUGUGGACCUGGGGCACUUCUCUGCAAGCAAACACUCCUCUAGGCUGGGAGAGAGAGUUGGCACUCUGCUGAUUUCCUUCAUAUUACUCUUACCAUCUCAUUUACAUUCAGGUGGCAACUGGGACAGGAAAACAGUUGCAUUUCUGGGCUUCCACACACAAGAGACCUUGGCUGGCUUGGUCCUUGCCAUGGGUCCUGUUAGUGUGGCAGGGCUUUCCCUGGAAGGCAGCGGGGGCUGCUCAGGUGUUUUUGGCUGCAGGAUGACCAAUAUCAGCCUAGGUGCCUAUAUGCCUCUUCUCUGUCAAUCUCUUUCUGGAAGAUAAUGCCCAGACUUUACAAAAGAGGCACCCACUUCCUCCUUUCACAUGCCAAAAGCAAAAGUCCCCAAAACCAGAAUUUCGGAAGAAAAAUCUGCUAGGAAGGAGAGGUAUUUGUUGCAUGCUGUCUCCGUUUCCCAGUGAUUGAGUCUAGUAAUAAAAGUGCAACUCCUGUAAAGAAACAUUUUAA